rnacentral:rRNA from 1 species
CCUACGGGAGGCAGCAGUGGGGAAUAUUGGACAAUGGGGGGAACCCUGAUCCAGCCAUGCCGCGUGUGUGAAGAAGGCCCUCGGGUUGUAAAGCACUUUCAGUGAGGAAGAACGCCUGGUGGUUAAUACCCAUCAGGAAAGACAUCAUUCACAGAAGAAGCACCGGCUAACUCCGUGCCAGCAGCCGCGGUAAUACGGAGGGUGCGAGCGUUAAUCGGAAUUACUGGGCGUAAAGCGCGCGUAGGUGGCUUGAUAAGCCGGUUGUGAAAGCCCCGGGCUCAACCUGGGAACGGCAUCCGGAACUGUCAAGCUAGAGUGCAGGAGAGGAAGGUAGAAUUCCCGGUGUAGCGGUGAAAUGCGUAGAGAUCGGGAGGAAUACCAGUGGCGAAGGCGGCCUUCUGGACUGACACUGACACUGAGGUGCGAAAGCGUGGGUAGCAAACAGGAUUAGAUACCCUUGUAGUC